UAAUGAAGAUUUUUGAGCCUUUCUUUGCUCUAUAUUCUAGUUAUUGGUUUAUAAUACCUAAAAAAAAUGGGUAAUUAUGCUUUAUUCAAAAUAUGUAGCUAGUAAAUGGAGUAAUUAUUAGAAAUAUAGAUAUAGGACCUCUAGUGGAUGAGUUUGCAGAAGUAUUUGCAAGAAGCGUAAUUUAUUCAAUGAAUGAUUUAUAUUUAGAUUAUGAUCAAUUUCAACUUGCAUAUAGAAGUAGAAAUUUAACAACAAUGAGAAUGUCACUUGGACUAUUUAAAAUGUGUACUCUUUUACAAGGUACUAC
rnacentral:lncRNA from 1 species